rnacentral:sRNA from 1 species
UCACUUGGUCCAGGGCUCCCCUGAUGGU